AUUGAACGCUGGCGGCAGGCCUAACACAUGCAAGUCGAGCGGAUGAAGGGAGCUUGCUCCUGGAUUCAGCGGCGGACGGGUGAGUAAUGCCUAGGAAUCUGCCUGGUAGUGGGGGAUAACGUCCGGAAACGGGCGCUAAUACCGCAUACGUCCUGAGGGAGAAAGUGGGGGAUCUUCGGACCUCACGCUAUCAGAUGAGCCUAGGUCGGAUUAGCUAGUUGGUGGGGUAAAGGCCUACCAAGGCGACGAUCCGUAACUGGUCUGAGAGGAUGAUCAGUCACACUGGAACUGAGACACGGUCCAGACUCCUACGGGAGGCAGCAGUGGGGAAUAUUGGACAAUAGGCGAAAGCCUGAUCCAGCCAUGCCGCGUGUGUGAAGAAGGUCUUCGGAUUGUAAAGCACUUUAAGUUGGGAGGAAGGGCAGUAAGUUAAUACCUUGCUGUUUUGACGUUACCGACAGAAUAAGCACCGGCUAACUUCGUG
rnacentral:rRNA from 1 species